CGCGGGAUGGAGCAGUCUGGUAGCUCGUCGGGCUCAUUUCGUCGGGCUCAUAACCCGAAGGUCGUCGGUUCAAAUCCGGCUCCCGCAACCA
rnacentral:tRNA from 1 species